rnacentral:rRNA from 1 species
UACGAAGGGGGCUAGCGUUGCUCGAAAUCACUGGGCGUAAAGCGCACGUAGGCGGCUUUUUAAGUCAGGGGUGAAAUCCUGGAGCUCAACUCCAGAACUGCCUUUGAUACUGAGAAGCUUGAGUCCGGGAGAGGUGAGUGGAACUGCGAGUGUAGAGGUGAAAUUCGUAGAUAUUCGCAAGAACACCAGUGGCGAAGGCGGCUCACUGGCCCGGUACUGACGCUGAGGUGCGAAAGCGUGGGAGCAACAGG